UGUCUAUAUAACCAUUCAUUGUGAAAAGCAUAUUUUUCCAUAUUUCCAUCUGACUGUUACUGAUACUUAACAAUACUAUUUUUUUUUUUUUUUUUGCAGGUAAUCAGAGGACUGCUGAAAUUUUGGCCCAAAACAUGCAGUCAGAAAGAGGUGAUGUUUUUAGGAGAAAUUGAAGAAAUCUUAGAUGUUAUUGAACCAACACAGUUCAAAAAAAUUGAAGAGCCACUUUUUAAGCAGAUCUCCAAGUGUGUCUCCAGUUCUCAUUUUCAGGUUGCAGAAAGAGCCUUGUACUUUUGGAAUAAUGAAUAUAUUCUUAGUUUGAUUGAAGAGAACAUUGAUAAAAUUCUGCCAAUUAUGUUUGCCAGUUUGUACAAAAUUUCCAAAGAACACUGGAAUCCGUAAGUUUUUGUU